rnacentral:lncRNA from 1 species
CUGAGUCAAGAAAAAAGAAACGGCUGCAAAAUGGUGGCUGACUGGUUGUCGUUGAUAUUUAUAUUUUCUCGUCCUAAUUUCCCUUUUUUUUUUAUUUUCCUUAUUUGGCUUUGUCGAAGGAAAUGGCAGUCUGGAAGAAAUUGAAGAUCGGGGAAUCGAAUGCAUACCGUCCAUCAUACGAAAGGCGUAAAUCACCAGCAGAUCUGGAAACGUAAAGGUGAAUGAAUUUCGUCAUUACUGGUGCAAACAUCAGACGAUCAGAGCCUGAUAAAACGACUGUACACACUUCCCAUUCCUGCCGGGACAUUUCGUCAAAUUCUUUCAAGACCCAUCCCCGGCAACGUCAACCUGCAGAAGGAAGAGGCCAGUUUGCAUGUCCUUC